UACAGAGACUGCAAGCGUUAUUCGGAUUCACUGGGCGUAAAGGGUGCGCAGGCGGCCAAGUGUGUGAGGCGUGAAAGCCCGGGGCUUAACCCCGGAAUUGCACCUCAAACUACAUGGCUAGAGCAUUGGAGAGGGAAGCGGAAUUUCCGGUGUAGCGGUGAAAUGCGUAGAUAUCGGAAGGAACAUCAGUGGCGAAAGCGGCUUCCUGGUCCAGCACCGACGUUCAGGCACGAAAGCGUGGGGAGCAAACAGG
rnacentral:rRNA from 1 species